GUUUCCCCUAGAGUUCUCCUGAUCACUUCAUUGGGACUUUAAAAAUGCCCUCAAAAUGGAAAGGGUAUUAAUUAUUAAUGCCUACUGAAGUGUUUGGGGGAACUCCAGGAGCCAC
rfam:Nicotiana attenuata strain TT chromosome 8, whole genome shotgun sequence.